rnacentral:rRNA from 1 species
AUUGAACGCUGGCGGCAGGCUUAACACAUGCAAGUCGAACGGAAACGAAGAGGAGCUUGCUCCUUUGGCGUCGAGUGGCGGACGGGUGAGUAAUGCUUGGGAAUAUGCCUUAUGGUGGGGGACAACAGUUGGAAACGACUGCUAAUACCGCAUAAUAUCUUCGGAUCAAAGUGGGGGACCUUCGGGCCUCACGCCAUGAGAGUAGCCCAAGUGGGAUUAGCUAGUUGGUAAGGUAAUGGCUUACCAAGGCGACGAUCCCUAGCUGGUCUUAGAGGAUGACCAGCCACACUGGAACUGAGACACGGUCCAGACUCCUACGGGAGGCAGCAGUGGGGAAUAUUGCACAAUGGGGGAAACCCUGAUGCAGCCAUGCCGCGUGUGUGAAGAAGGCUUUCGGGUUGUAAAGCACUUUCAGCGAGGAGGAAAGGUUAGUAGUUAAUAGCUGCUAGCUGUGACGUUACUCGCAGAAGAAGCACCGGCUAACUCCG